rnacentral:rRNA from 1 species
CAAGUCGAGCGGACAGAUGGGAGCUUGCUCCCUGAUGUUAGCGGCGGACGGGUGAGUAACACGUGGGUAACCUGCCUGUAAGACUGGGAUAACUCCGGGAAACCGGGGCUAAUACCGGAUGGUUGUCUGAACCGCAUGGUUCAGACAUAAAAGGUGGCUUCGGCUACCACUUACAGAUGGACCCGCGGCGCAUUAGCUAGUUGGUGAGGUAACGGCUCACCAAGGCGACGAUGCGUAGCCGACCUGAGAGGGUGAUCGGCCACACUGGGACUGAGACACGGCCCAGACUCCUACGGGAGGCAGCAGUAGGGAAUCUUCCGCAAUGGACGAAAGUCUGACGGAGCAACGCCGCGUGAGUGAUGAAGGUUUUCGGAUCGUAAAGCUCUGUUGUUAGGGAAGAACAAGUGCCGUUCAAAUAGGGCGGCACCUUGACGGUACCUAACCAGAAAGCCACGGCUAACUACGUGCCAGCAGCCGCGGUAAUACGUAGGUGGCAAGCGUUGUCCGGAAUUAUUGGGCGUAAAGGGCUCGCAGGCGGUUUCUUAAGUCUGAUGUGAAAGCCCCCGGCUCAACCGGGGAGGGUCAUUGGAAACUGGGGAACUUGAGUGCAGAAGAGGAGAGUGGAAUUCCACGUGUAGCGGUGAAAUGCGUAGAGAUGUGGAGGAACACCAGUGGCGAAGGCGACUCUCUGGUCUGUAACUGACGCUGAGGAGCGAAAGCGUGGGGAGCGAACAGGAUUAGAUACCCUGGUAGUCCACGCCGUAAACGAUGAGUGCUAAGUGUUAGGGGGUUUCCGCCCCUUAGUGCUGCAGCUAACGCAUUAAGCACUCCGCCUGGGGAGUACGGUCGCAAGACUGAACUCAAAGGAAUUGACGGGGGGCCCGCACAAGCGGUGGAGCAUG